AGUGAACGCUGGCGGUAGGCCUAACACAUGCAAGUCGAACGGCAGCACAGUAAGAGCUUGCUCUUACGGGUGGCGAGUGGCGGACGGGUGAGGUAUACAUCGGAAUCUACUUUUUCGUGGGGGAUCACGUAGGGAAACUUACGCUAAUACCGCAUACGACCUACGGGUGAAAGCAGGGGAUCUUCGGACCUUGCGCGAUUGACUGCGCCGAUGUCGGAUUAGCUAGUUGGCGGUGUAAAGUCACACCAAGGCGACGAUCCGUAGCUGGUCUGAGAGGAUGAUCAGCCACACUGGAACUGAGACACGGCCCAGACUCCUACGGGAGGCAGCAGUGGGGAAUUUUGGACAAUGGGCGCAAGCCUGAUCCAGCCAUGCCGCGUGGGUGAAGAAGGCCUUCGGGUUGUAAAGCCCUUUUGUUCGGAAAGAAAAGGCUCAGGUUAAUACCCCGCUGUUCUGACGGUACCCAAAGAAUAAGCACCGGCUAACUUCGUG
rnacentral:rRNA from 1 species